UGGUUGCUUGAACAUUGCUCAUUAAAUUGUGUAACAGUUGGAUGGUUUCACUGUUUGUUUUCUGAUUGGUUGUCUGAGAUAUUAACUGUUUAGAUUUUGUACAGGUACAUUAGUUGCUUGCUUUUAGCUCUUGCUUGAGCUUUGGAUUGUGGUUGAUACACCACUUAGGUAGCUAUCUUCUUACUCCAUGUAGUCUGGAAGUCCUGUCACCUUUUUGGCAGGCAUUUUGCUGGCA
rnacentral:lncRNA from 1 species